CUCACUCAACCACUUAGCAUUCAUCAUUUUGAUAUUGAAUUGUCUACUGCAACUAUGGGUAUCCAAUAUUUUUCUCAAUUGUCAUGUUCUACAUCCUUCUAAAUGUCCACAAUAAGCCAUCCAUGGACAUUUUUUUUUUGCACCCAACAUCUCACUCAUACCCUUCUAUUGUCAUUCUUAAGAAACUUCAAAUUCCUCCCCGCAUGCACGACAUAACUUCUAACAGCCUCCAUAAACUCAUUUUUAUCACUAAUCUGUGUUCCCACUUCCCACUUGUAUUCUGACAUAUUUUUUUUCUUAACAUAUGUCCCAAAUGGACCACAACUUUGCCUUUCAUCAAUUCCAUCCUCACUUCCACUUUCUUCUGGACUGUCCAAUAAUUUUGAGUCCCACUCAUCAUCAGACAAACCCCUGCCAUUUGGGUUUCUCUGCCUAUAUGCACUGUCAUCUGUGUUUGAAUCACAAUUGCUUUCAUUUUCACUAACUUCUACUGACACAGACCCUUCUACGUUGUUAUCUACUAGUCCUUCAUCAAUAUUAACAUCAACAUCAACUAGUCCUUCAUCCACUUAUCCUUCAUCCACUUCUUCUUCAUCAACUACUCCAUGAGGAAAUUCACCAUGCACCACCCCUGCAUCAUCAUCCUCACUUGAACUAAAUUCUUCAAUGACAACUUCUUCCUCCACAUGCUCGUGUUGUUCAAUAACAACUUCCUCCUCCUCCACCCUAACGUUAUGUUCAACCAUAUCCUCCACCUGCACAUCCACUUCUUCAUCCUCCACAUGCACAGAAACGUCAUCAUCCUCCCCCUGCAUCUCCACUUUAUCAUCCUCAUUCCCACCUAAAUGGCUACCUUCACUCUCUAUACUUCCAAGACACAGCAAAUGAAGUGGUUCAUUUAAUUCACUUUGAAAUAUAAUCUUUGGCUCCUCAUCCACAUUGUGCACCACAAAUAAGUGAACUUACCCUAAAUGCUUGGCAACGUCUACCAUGUUCAUUACAUCUCUGUUAUCAUACAACUUAUACAAAAUAUGUUGAAUGCAAUAAAAUAACUCAGACACAUUAAUAUA
rnacentral:lncRNA from 1 species